GAGAGAGAGCUUGCUUUCUCGAGCGAGUGGCGAACGGGUGAGUAACGCGUGAGGAACCUGCCUCAAAGAGGGGGACAACAGUUGGAAACGACUGCUAAUACCGCAUAAGCCCACGGUGCCGCAUGGUACAGAGGGAAUAGGAGCAAUCCGCUUUGAGAUGGCCUCGCGUCCGAUUAGCUAGUUGGUGAGGUAACGGCCCACCAAGGCGACAAUCGGUAGCCGGACUGAGAGGUUGAACGGCCACAUUGGGACUGAGACACGGCCCAGACUCCUACGGGAGGCAGCAGUGGGGAAUAUUGCACAAUGGGGGAAACCCUGAUGCAGCGACGCCGCGUGGAGGAAGAAGGUCUUCGGAUUGUAAACUCCUGUUGUUGGGGAAGAUAAUGACGGUACCCAACAAGGAAGUGACGGCUAACUACGUGCCAGCAGCCGCGGUAAAACGUAGGUCACAAGCGUUGUCCGGAAUUACUGGGUGUAAAGGGAGCGCAGGCGGGAAGACAAGUUGGAAGUGAAAUCUAUGGGCUCAACCCAUAAACUGCUUUCAAAACUGUUUUUCUUGAGUAGUGCAGAGGUAGGCGGAAUUCCCGGUGUAGCGGUGGAAUGCGUAGAUAUCGGGAGGAACACCAGUGGCGAA
rnacentral:rRNA from 1 species